rnacentral:rRNA from 1 species
UUUGACCUCAAAUCAGGUAGGACUACCCGCNGAAC